GGUCUAGGGGUGAAAGGCCAAUCGAGCCCGGAGAUAGCUGGUUCCCCCCGAAGUAACCCUAAGGUUAGCCGGAGGUUAGGUAGAUAGCAGGGUAGAGCACUGAUAGAGGGGUUAGGGGACGAAAGUCCUCGCCUUUCUGUCAAACUCCGAACCUGUUAUCGCUGCAGCCUCUGAGAAAGGGCAUACGGGUAAGCUGUAUGUCCGAGACGGGAAUAGCCGCGACUCAGGUUAAGGUCCCUAAGUACUGAUUAAGUGUGAACACGAAGGGCGUCCUUGGCCUAAGACAGCAGGGAGGUUGGCUUAGAAGCAGCCAUCCUUAAAAGAGUGCGUAACAGCUCACCUGUCGAGGUCAGGGGCCCCGAAAAUGGACGGGGCUAAAUCAGUUACCGAGACCUGAGGGCACCGAAAGGUGAUCCGGUAGGGGGGCGUUCUGUAAGGGCAGAAGUUUGGCUGUGAAGUCAAGUGGACCUUAUAGAAAUGAAGAUCCCGGUAGUAGUAACAGCACAAGUGGAGUGAGAAUCUCCACCGCCGAAGGGGCAAGGGUUUCACAGCAAUGUUCGUCAGCUGUGAGUAAGCCGGUCCUAACUUCCGAGGUAACUCCUUUGGAAGGAAAGGGAGACAGGUUAAUAUUCCUGUGCCAUCUAAAUACACGCGGCAACGCAAGGUUAGUUUCUGACGCUUCAGGGUAUGCUAACUACUCUUGUCUGGGUAGUCAAAUGUAUAAGUCUGGGGAGAAUUGUAAUAAUGAGAACCAGAUGAAAGCAUGAUGAUCCAUCCUUUAGGAUGGUUUGGUAGAUCUCUGGAGCCCGUGAAAAGGGAACUAUCAUGGAUUUUAGAUGACCGUACCCAGAACCGACACUGGUGCCCCUAGGUGAGUAUCCUAAGGCGUAUCGGAUGAAUCUAGUCGAGGGAAGUCGGCAAAAUGGCUCCGUAACUUCGGGAGAAGGAGUGCCAGUGACCUUGUUAAGGGGUCGCUGGUCGCAGUGACCAGGGAGGUCCGACUGUUCAAUACAAACACAGGUCUUAGCUAGUCUGAAAAGAUGUGUACUAAGGCCGACGCCUGCCCAGUGCUGGUACGUGAACCCCGGGUUCAACCGGGCGAAGCGCCAGUAAACGGCGGGGGUAACUAUAACCCUCUUAAGGUAGCGAAAUUCCUUGUCGGGUAAGUUCCGACCUGCAUGAAUGGCGUAACGAGACCUCCACUGUCCCCGACUAGAAUCCGGUGAACCUACCAUUCCGGUGCAAAGGCCGGAGACUUCCAGUGGGAAGCGAAGACCCCGUGGAGCUUUACUGCAGCCUGUCGUUGGGGCAUGAUUGUGGGUGUACAGUGUAGGUGGGAGCCAUCGAAACCUUCUCGCUAGGGAAGGUGGAGGCGUCCAUGGGACACCACCCUCCUAUGAUCAUGUCCCUUACCCAAGUAUGGGGACACCGGUAGGUGGGCAGUUUGGCUGGGGCGGUACCCUCCUAAAAAUGCAUCAGGAGGGCCCAAAGGUUGGCUCAAGCGGGUCAGGACUCCGCUGUUGAGUGUAAGGGCAAAAGCCAGCCUGACUUAGUUGUCCACAAUACGCAACUAAGAGACGAAAGUCGGGCCUAACGAACCCCUGUGCCUCACCGAUGGAGGCCAGGGAUGACAGAAAAGCUACCCCGGGGAUAACAGAGUUGUCGCGGGCAAGAGCCCAUAUCGACCCCGCGGCUUGCUACCUCGAUGUCGGUUUUUCCCAUCCUGGAUCUGCAGCAGGAUCCAAGGGUGGGGCUGUUCGCCCAUUAAAGGGGAUCAUGAGCUGGGUUUAGACCGUCGUGAGACAGGUUGGUUGCUAUCUGCUGGAAGUGUUGGCUGUCUGAGGGAAAGGUGGUUCUAGUACGAGAGGAACGAGCCGCCGGUGCCUCUAGUUUAUCGGUUGUUCGACAGGGCAUUGCCGAGCCGCCACGCACCAAGGGAUAAGAGCUGAAAGCAUCUAAGCUCGAAGUCCAUCCUGAAAACAGACAGCCGUCCUUCUAGGAGGCGAGGGGUCCCAUAGAAGAUGGGUUUGAUAGGCUAGGAAUGUAAGCAUCAAGGUUUUCCGAGGUGUUUAGUUCGCUAGUACUAACCCCCCAAGAGAUAUUGG
rnacentral:rRNA from 1 species